rnacentral:tRNA from 1 species
GUCUCCAUAGCUCAGCUGGUAGAGCAAUCGCCUCUUAAGCGAUGGGUCGCGGGUCCGAAUCCCUCUGGGGACACCA